rnacentral:lncRNA from 1 species
CAGAGAUAUGAAAUAAUCAAUGCAAUUGUUUAAGAAGAUCAUCUGACAGUGGUGUACAGAUAUAUUGGAGUAAAAUAACACACACCAGUGAGAUGAGGUGGGAAGCAAGAACAAUUGUCCCCAUGAGAGACAAAUGCAUUAACAGUGGAAGCUGCUGAAAAGAUUUUCCAUUCAUGGAUUUUAAUGAGAAAGGAUGAAAAAUCAAAGUAGUUUUAAGGAUUAAGCAAAGGAUUGGAAAACAGAACGAAGAGAACACUUUCCAGCUCAUUUUCUGGAGCCAGUAUUACUCUAAUAAAGCAAAGGCAUUACAAAAAUACCAAAACCUCUAGACUCGUAACUCAUGAUCAAAGAUACAAAAAUCAUCCACAAAAUAUGACCACCUGAAACUAGUAGUAUAAUAAUGAUAAUAAAUCAUGAUAAAUGGAGCUUAUCCAGGAACUGUCUGGAGUCUAUUCAAAAUGCCACAUUACAUUUGGAUGCCAUGUCUCCUUAGGUUCCUGUGGGCUGUGUCAAUUUCUGUGACAUUUUUGAUGAUGUUGACACUUUGGAAGACUAUUGGUAAAGUACUUUGUCGUAUGCACCUUUAUCCUCUAAUGGAAUUUAAAUUUAUCUAAUGUUUAUCUCAUGAUUAGACUGAGGUUAUCUGUUUUAGGGACACAGGUCACAGAGAUGAGGUGUCAUUUUUAUCACAUCACAUAAAGGAAACACUAUCAAGUGAUUAAUGACUGUUGAUGUGGACCUCGAUUCCCUGGCAGAGCGGGAGUUUGCCAGGUUUCUCCACUCUAAACUUACUCUUCUCCACUCUCUUACUAUACUAGACUCUGGAAGGAAGACAUUACAUGUAUCACACACUUAAGAAAUGGGGACUAAUACUCCCUCUCCUUGGUAAUGGAGAAUCUACAAAAAUCAUUUGGAAAUAUUCUUCAUGGGAGAUUUGUCUCAUCUCUUCUUCUUAUAUAUUUAUUUGUUCUUAUAAUUAUUUAUUUAUAUCAUGAUGUUCUCAUCAACAUAUAUUUUGUAUUUUGUAUUACAUUAAUACAACUUUCAUUUUCUUGCUCAAAUUGUUUCAGGAUUGGCCAUUGAGAGGUCUUUCAGUUGGCUCUUGUGUUCUGUCGAUAUAUCUCCAUAGGCAUUUUUUGUUUGUUUGUUUUUGCUUUUGGACACCUCCUCAUUUUCCAGCAUGACAAGAUGAGCUGUGUUCAUCUUGUGUAUUUCUAGGCCCAUCUCUAGAAUGAGCCAUUUAUCCAAAGAGCUUUGGUUUCUUUUAUUGGAAUAUAUUAGAAAACAAGAUCUGGAUGCAAACUGUGCAAGUUCUACUGGGGUGUCAUUUCUUUUAGGACCUCUUAGCACCUUUCAAAUAUAUGUCUAUAUAUUUGUCUUUAUAUAUUUACAUAUAAAUAAACAUUUCCAUAUUUGACAAUCUAUAUCUAUAUUACACUAAUAGCCUGAGAUCUUCACCUCUAUGUUUUAUUGAUUGAUGUGUCUUACUGAUUUUUCCAAACCUCAUCUAUCACUAUAUAAAUUAUUCUGGCCUCUUGCCCUUACUUUUACAUAAAUACUCACUUCAACAAAUAGAAACUUCACUCUCAUGAUUUACCAUCUAUUUACUUUAUUGUUCAAUUCCAGUGUACGUGUAUAGAAGUAUCAAGAUUGUCCACCAGUAUCCCAAUGGGAAAAACUUCAUUAGCCGGUAUAGUGCUUUUGUGAUGUUUCUUUCGCCUUUAGACUUACAUACAUCUCUCAUUUCCAAAAUUACUUAGUUCAUCAGCUACCCACCCCCCUCGCCCACCUUCUCACUGAGGUUGUUUCAUGUAUUUAUAAAUAGCAUUACAUUCUAUUGUCAAAGUCUGCAUUGCUUCCUAGGAUUCUCCAAUCUCCUAAAUGAUAUUUUUGUUUGCAUACAUUAAGGCUCACGCUGUGCUAUAAGUUUAUGGAUUUAAACAACUGGAUAAUGUCAUGUUUUCCACCAUGACAGUAUCAUAUAGAAUAAUUUCCCUCCCCUACAUAUUCCCUGUUAUUCACCUGUUCAUCCCUGUCCUUGUCCCCCAACAUCUCAACCUACCACUGCUAUUUUCACUCUCUCUAGUUCUGCCUUUUUCAAAGUAUCAUCUAAUGGGAAUGAUACAGUAUUUACCCUUUUCUGACUGCCAUCUUUCAUUCAUCAAUAUGCAUUUUAGGUUUACCCGGUUUUUGUUGCUUGAUAGUACAUGUUUUAUUGCUAAAUAAUAUUCUAUUGUAUAGAUUUAUCACAGGAUUUAAAAAUUUAUUCACCUAUUGAAGACUGUUUCAGUUGCGUCUAGUUUUGCAAUUAUGAAUAAAGCUGUUAAAAACUUUUCUUGCAGGUUUUUAUGAGGACAUAAGUAUUAAAAUCAAUUGCAUAAAUGCUUAGAAACAAGAUUGUUAUGGCUAUAUUUGGCUUUCUAACACACUAAAAAAAAGUCUUUCAUUCUGGCUGUACAAUUUUGCAUUUUCUUUAUGAGGGAAUGAAAACUUCUGUUGCUUCCAACCCUCUCCAGCAUUCGAUUUUCCAGAUUUUAUGGCUUUUAGUCAUUCAAAUACAUGUACAGUGGUAAUUUCUUGUUGUUUUAAUUUGAAAUUAUUUAAUGACAAAUAAUGCUGAAUAUCUUCUUACAUGCUUGUUUGUCAUUUACAUAAAUUUGGUGUGGAUUCUUUUCAGAUCUUGCCCAUUUUUAAUUGAAUCACGUUAUUAUUGAGAUUUAAAUAUUUCUGUGAAUUUGGAUACAAUCACUUAUCAGAUAGAUGUUAAGCAAAUAUUUUCUUUAGUCUGUGGCUUCUCUUUUGAUUCGCUUCACUAUGUCUUUACAGAACCAAAGAACUUACUUUUAAUACAGUUCAGUUCAUCAAUUUUUAAUAGAUUGUUCUUUUGAUGUUGUAUUAAUAUCUAAAAACACACCACAAACACAGAGUCACAUAAAUUUUCUUCUAUGUUUUCCUCUGCUAGUUUUAUAGUGCUGUUUUAUAUUUGGGUAUAUGAACUAUUUUGAGUUACUUUUUGUGAAAGGUGUAAGGUUUGUGCCUACAUUCAUUUUUUUUAAUAUGAACAUCCAAUCUUUUUAGUACCAUUUGUUGUAAAGACUAUACUUUAUCCUAAAGACUAUACUUUAUCCUAAAGACUAUACUUUAUCCAUUGAACUGCCUUUGCUCUUUUUUCAAUGAUUAGUUAACUAUAUUUUUGUAGAUCUAUUUCUGGGUUCUCUAUUCUUUUCCACUCAUUUAUAUAACCUUUUGAUAAAUAUAUCAAUAACAUGGUGUACAGAUUAUAAUAGCUUAAUUAUAACCAAACCAUGCAUUUGGUUAUAUCAGUCCUCUUACUUUUCUCUUCUUCAGUAUUGUGCAGAAAAUUUUAGGGUGUUCUUUUGUUUCCAUAUAAACCUUCCAGUUAAUUUGUUGAUACAAAAAAGCUUGUUGGAACUGCUGCUAUGAUUGUUUUGAAUAUAUGAAUCAAGUUGGAAAGAACUGACAUUUUAACACUAUUGAGUUCUCCAGUCUAUGAACAUGAAAUCUCUCUCCAUUAAUUGAGUUUUUUUCCUGAUGUCUCUCACCAGAGUUUUGUAGUUUCCCGUGUGGAUUUUUUUUACUCAUUUUAUUAUAUUCAUACUAAAUAUUUCAUUUUGGUGUUAUCAUAAAUCACAUUUUGUUUUUAAUAUCAAACCUAAAUUAUUUAUUGCUGGUAUAUAAGACAGCAACUGACUUUUGUAUAGUAAUCUUGUAUCCUAUGACCUUGCUGCUGAUCAGCUCUUGGAUUUUUUUUUCCCAGUUAUUUGCAAUUUUCUACUUAGUAAAAUCAUAUCGUCUGCAAAUAAAGGUAGUUUUACUCCUUCCUUUACAAUCUCGUACUUUCUGUUUUAUUUUGCCUUAAAAUAACUAGGACUUUCAAUCAGGGGAUAUUAAGAGUGAUGAGAGAGGGUAUCCUUACCGUUAGUCUGAGAUAUGGUGGAUUACAUUGGCCAUUUUUCAUAUGUUGAAGCAGCAUUGGAUACUUGGAAUAAAUUCCACUUUGUCAUGGUGUAUCAUUCAUUUUCAUACAUUGUUAAAUUUGAUUUGCUAAUAUUUUGUUAAGGAUUUUUGAAUCUAUGUUGUUUAUGAAAGAUAUUGUCUGUCAUUUUCUUUUUUAAAAUCAUGUUCCCAGCACUUUGGGAGGCCGAGGUAGGCAGAUCAUUUGAGAUCAGGUGUUCAAGACCAGCCUGGCCAACAUAGAGUAACCCUGUCCCUACUAAAAAAUGCAAAAAUCAGCUGGGCAUGGUGGUGUGCACCUAUAAUACCAGCUACUUGGGAGGCUGAGGCAGGAGAAUCAUGGAAGUUGCAGUGAGGCGGAUGUUGCAAUGAGCCGAGAUCUUGCCACUGCACUCCAGCCUGGGCCACAGAAAGAGACUCCGUCUCAAAAAAACAAAUAAACAAAAAACCCAAAAACCCCUGUGUUUACCUGAUUUUAGUAUUAGAGUAGUGCUGGCCUAAUAAAAUAAGUUAGAAAUUGUUCCUCAUAUAUUCUGGACGAUAUUGUGAAGUAUUGGUAUAAUUUCUUCCAUAAAUGUUUGGCAUAAUUUAAUAGCAAAAGUAUUUAGACUGAGCACUUUCUUUUUGGCAAGGUAUUAAUUAUUGAAUCUAUUUAAUAUGUGUUGACUUAAUCAGUUUAUCGAUUUUGCAUGGUGUGAGUUUUAGUAGUUUGUGUCUUUCAAGUAAUUGGUCCACUUAAUCCAAGAUAUUAAAUUUGUGGGCAUAAAAGGACUGAAUUAUCAGCCCCCAUGCCCAGCCAAAUAUGUGUGUUGUAGUCCUAAUCCAUAGUAUCUAGAAUGAAAUGUAUUUGUAGUUAAGGUCUUUAAAUAGUUGAUUAAGAUAGUGUGAAUUUUAAUCUAUAUGACUGGUGUCCUUCUAAGAAGAAUAAAUGUGAACAAACGAAGAAAUACCAGGAAUGAGCUUGCAUAGAGGAAAAACCAUGUGAAGACACAGCAAAAUGGGAACAAUUCACAAGCCAAGGAGAAAGUUUUCAGAAGAAACCAAACCUGCCAACAUCUCAGUCUUGUACUUCUAGCUUCCGAGA